UACGAAGGGGGCUAGCGUUGCUCGGAAUCACUGGGCGUAAAGGGCGCGUAGGCGGCUUAUCAAGUCGGGGGUGAAAGCCCGUGGCUCAACCACGGAAUGGCCUUCGAUACUGGUAGGCUUGAGACCGGAAGAGGACAGCGGAACUGCGAGUGUAGAGGUGAAAUUCGUAGAUAUUCGCAAGAACACCAGUGGCGAAGGCGGCUGUCUGGUCCGGUUCUGACGCUGAGGCGCGAAAGCGUGGGGAGCAACAGG
rnacentral:rRNA from 1 species